rnacentral:tRNA from 1 species
GGUUCCAUAGCGUAAUGGUGAUCACAUCUAUUUUACAUGCCGAGGGUCCUAGGUUCGAGCCCCAGUGGAACCA